CCUACGGGUGGCUGCAGUGGGGAAUAUUGGACAAUGGGGGGAACCCUGAUCCAGCCAUGCCGCGUGUGUGAAGAAGGCCCUCGGGUUGUAAAGCACUUUCAGUGAGGAAGAACGCCUGGUGGUUAAUACCCAUCAGGAAAGACAUCACUCACAGAAGAAGCACCGGCUAACUCCGUGCCAGCAGCCGCGGUAAUACGGAGGGUGCGAGCGUUAAUCGGAAUUACUGGGCGUAAAGCGCGCGUAGGUGGCUUGAUAAGCCGGUUGUGAAAGCCCCGGGCUCAACCUGGGAACGGCAUCCGGAACUGUCAAGCUAGAGUGCAGGAGAGGAAGGUAGAAUUCCCGGUGUAGCGGUGAAAUGCGUAGAGAUCGGGAGGAAUACCAGUGGCGAAGGCGGCCUUCUGGACUGACACUGACACUGAGGUGCGAAAGCGUGGGUAGCAAACAGGAUUAGAUACCUAGUAGUC
rnacentral:rRNA from 1 species